rnacentral:rRNA from 1 species
GAUGAACGCUGGCGGCGUGCCUAAUACAUGCAAGUCGAGCGAACAGACGAGGAGCUUGCUCCUCUGACGUUAGCGGCGGACGGGUGAGUAACACGUGGAUAACCUACCUAUAAGACUGGGAUAACUUCGGGAAACCGGAGCUAAUACCGGAUAAUAUAUUGAACCGCAUGGUUCAAUAGUGAAAGACGGUUUUGCUGUCACUUAUAGAUGGAUCCGCGCCGCAUUAGCUAGUUGGUAAGGUAACGGCUUACCAAGGCAACGAUGCGUAGCCGACCUGAGAGGGUGAUCGGCCACACUGGAACUGAGACACGGUCCAGACUCCUACGGGAGGCAGCAGUAGGGAAUCUUCCGCAAUGGGCGAAAGCCUGACGGAGCAACGCCGCGUGAGUGAUGAAGGUCUUCGGAUCGUAAAACUCUUUUAUUAGGGAAGAACAAAUGUGUAAGUAACUAUGCCCGUCUUGACGGUACCUAAUCAGAAAGCCCCGGCUAACUACGUG